UGCAGUCGAGCGGUAGAGAGAAGCUUGCUUCUCUUGAGAGCGGCGGACGGGUGAGUAAUGCCUAGGAAUCUGCCUGGUAGUGGGGGAUAACGUUCGGAAACGGACGCUAAUACCGCAUACGUCCUACGGGAGAAAGCAGGGGACCUUCGGGCCUUGCGCUAUCAGAUGAGCCUAGGUCGGAUUAGCUAGUUGGUGGGGUAAUGGCUCACCAAGGCGACGAUCCGUAACUGGUCUGAGAGGAUGAUCAGUCACACUGGAACUGAGACACGGUCCAGACUCCUACGGGAGGCAGCAGUGGGGAAUAUUGGACAAUGGGCGAAAGCCUGAUCCAGCCAUGCCGCGUGUGUGAAGAAGGUCUUCGGAUUGUAAAGCACUUUAAGUUGGGAGGAAGGGUUGUAGAUUAAUACUCUGCAAUUUUGACGUUACCGACAGAAUAAGCACCGGCUAACUCUGUGCCAGCAGCCGCGGUAAUACAGAGGGUGCAAGCGUUAAUCGGAAUUACUGGGCGUAAAGCGCGCGUAGGUGGUUAGUUAAGUUGGAUGUGAAAUCCCCGGGCUCAACCUGGGAACUGCAUUCAAAACUGACUGACUAGAGUAUGGUAGAGGGUGGUGGAAUUUCCUGUGUAGCGGUGAAAUGCGUAGAUAUAGGAAGGAACACCAGUGGCGAAGGCGACCACCUGGACUGAUACUGACACUGAGGUGCGAAAGCGUGGGGAGCAAACAGGAUUAGAUACCCUGGUAGUCCACGCCGUAAACGAUGUCAACUAGCCGUUGGGAGCCUUGAGCUCUUAGUGGCGCAGCUAACGCAUUAAGUUGACCGCCUGGGGAGUACGGCCGCAAGGUUAAAACUCAAAUGAAUUGACGGGGGCUCGCACAA
rnacentral:rRNA from 1 species